rnacentral:tRNA from 1 species
GGGGUUGUGGCUCAGUGGUAGAGCACUUGCCUAGCAUGCAUGAGGCACAGCAUUUAAUCCUCAACACCA